GUACAGUUAUCAAGUGAUGCAAAUUUUUGUGAGAUCUUAUUAUGCCUAUUUCUUUAUUUCCACAUAAAGAGAAGGCUUGCCGUUAGAACGGUUCUGGAUGUAUAUUUCCUGACAAUGGACGCUAUGGUAAUAGGGGUUGCUCUAAGGUCUGUUUGUUCUUGGAGCGGUUCCUAAUGAGGUAUAAGGACUGAUGCAGUUUUAGAACGAAGAUUUUGGGGACAGAAGCUGUCAGGAUGAGACCAACGAUAUCUAAUCAGGUUAGUGCUAGGUCUCUUUUAGAUUCGAAAUCCGGUGUAAUACUAUAUUAUAUAAACUUAUUGAUUUUUAAGUUCAAUUCACGUAAAGUAUGUUGUAGUACUUUCCAUAAGUGAUGUUCGAAGAGCC